GAUGAACGCUGACAGAAUGCUUAACACAUGCAAGUCAACUUGAAUUUGGGUUUUUAACUUAAGUUUGGGUGGCGGACGGGUGAGUAACGCGUAAAGAACUUGCCUCACAGCUAGGGACAACAUUUGGAAACGAAUGCUAAUACCUAAUAUUAUGAUAAUAGGGCAUCCUAUAAUUAUGAAAAGCUAUAAGCGCUGUGAGAGAGCUUUGCGUCCCAUUAGCUAGUUGGAGAGGUAACUGCUCACCAAGGCGAUGAUGGGUAGCCGGCCUGAGAGGGUGAUCGGCCACAAGGGGACUGAGACACGGCCCUUACUCCUACGGGAGGCAGCAGUGGGGAAUAUUGGACAAUGGACCAAGAGUCUGAUCCAGCAAUUCUGUGUGCACGAUGAAGUUUUUCGGAAUGUAAAGUGCUUUCAGUUGGGAAGAAAGAAAUGACGGUACCAACAGAAGAAGUGACGGCUAAAUACGUGCCAGCAGCCGCGGUAAUACGUAUGUCACGAGCGUUAUCCGGAUUUAUUGGGCGUAAAGCGCGUCUAGGUGGUUAUGUAAGUCUGAUGUGAAAAUGCAGGGCUCAACUCUGUAUUGCGUUGGAAACUGUAUAACUAGAGUACUGGAGAGGUAAGCGGAACUACAAGUGUAGAGGUGAAAUUCGUAGAUAUUUGUAGGAAUGCCGAUGGGGAAGCCAGCUUACUGGACAGAUACUGACGCUGAAGCGCGAAAGCGUGGGUAGCAAACAGG
rnacentral:rRNA from 1 species